ACGGAAGGCAGCAGUGGGGAAUAUUGCACAAUGGGCGCAAGCCUGAUGCAGCGAUGCCGCGUGAGGGAAGAAGGUUUUCGGAUUGUAAACCUCUGUCAUCGGGGACGAUAAUGACUGUACCCGAGAAGGAAGCUCCGGCUAAAUACGUGCCAGCAGCCGCGGUAAUACGUAUGGAGCAAGCGUUAUCCGGAUUUACUGGGUGUAAAGGGAGCGUAGACGGCAAAGCAAGUCCGAAGUGAAAUCCCGGGGCUCAACCCCGGAACUGCUUUGGAAACUGUUUAGCUAGAGUGCAGGAGAGGUAAGCGGAAUUCCUAGUGUAGCGGUGAAAUGCGUAGAUAUUAGGAGGAACACCAGUGGCGAAGGCGGCUUACUGGACUGUAACUGACGUUGAGGCUCGAAAGCGUGGGGAGCAAACAGGAUUAGAUACCCUGGUA
rnacentral:rRNA from 1 species